GUUCAGCUGACGAGUCCCAAACAGGACGAAACACGCGUCCUGGAU
rnacentral:hammerhead_ribozyme from 1 species